UGCUGCAUCCAGGAUGUAUUUUGGGGGUAACACAAACCAGUAUGCCAUCAGAUUGGGUGUGGGGUGUAACCAAAAGAGGCUUUUUGUUCUGAGCAACAGGAAAGAUGAAGUUGCCAUGAACUGAGACUGGGGAGUCUAUCAGAGGAGUAGGUUUGGUGGGGAAAAAUGGGAAUUUAAUUUUGAAACUGAUAAGUUUGAGACACCCAAGGAGAGACAGCAAGUAUGCGGUUGUAUAUAUCAAGCUGAAGUUUAGAGAAGUGGUACAGAAUAGAGGAAAUUAGAGCUAUUGGUAUGCGGGUGGGAUUUGAAGCAUGAGAUGGAAGGAGGUCACCAAGAAAGUGAAUGUAUAUAAAACAAACAAUGUGUCCAAGGGCUGAGUUCUGAGAUACUUCAAUAGCAGAAGAUGAUGUUGACAAGCAGAAGCUAGCUAAAGAGACUGAGCAAGUGCUGGCAGUGAAGCACCAGGAAAACCAAGAGAUCACGCUCAGUGCUAGCGGAUUCACAAGCAACCUGCACUCCUCAAAGAAAUACAAUGAUAAGAUGAAGGCGAUCUCUCCAACUAGCGACUGGGGCUCUUCCUUCAGUGAAAAAAGUGGGUAUAUGCAGACUCCUGAAUCUAGAUUGCAGGGAUGUGACCUAUGUAAUGAACUUGCUGCUUAUGGCUCAUCAUCUUCUUCAAUGACGUGAAAAAUAGUAACAACUAAUACGUCUCGGGCAAAAUAAAUACUUUAAUGGACUUGUUACAGCAACCUGACUUUUUAAAAAGAAAAAAGGAACUUACUUGAACUAAAGUGGUUAAGACCUCGACAUUUGCUCACAGAAAGGGUCGUUGAGUCGUUUCUAGUUGUUGAUGGGCAAAAGAUGCAGCUGUCCCUUAUGGAAAAUUCCAAGAACUUGUACAUAAUUUGAGUCAUGCAAACCUGAGUUCUGCAUGACUGAGUUCUGUCACUCAGUGGUUGGGAAAUUUAUGAUCAUCUCUAUGCCUUGGUUUCUGCAUCUGUAAAGUGGAAAUGAUAAUGUCUACCUUGUGUGAUUCCUGGAAGAAUUAAAUACAUGAUAUUCAAAA